UACGUAGGGUGCGAGCGUUGUCCGGAAUUAUUGGGCGUAAAGAGCUUGUAGGUGGCUCGUUGCGUCGGGAGUGAAAACCUGCGGCUUAACCGCAGGCCUGCUUCCGAUACGGGCGAGCUAGAGUUCGGCAGGGGAGACUGGAAUUCCUGGUGUAGCGGUGAAAUGCGCAGAUAUCAGGAGGAACACCGAUGGCGAAGGCAGGUCUCUGGGCCACUACUGACGCUGAGGCGCGAAAGCUAGGGGAGCAAACAGG
rnacentral:rRNA from 1 species